AGCAACAAGGUGGGACGUCUGUGAGUCGGCGAACUUUGAAAGGAAGCAGUGGCUUGGGAUCUUGUAUAGUUACAGAGCUUGUCUUAUCUGUGGUUGGAAGAUGGUUCCAUAUGGUGCAGUUUCACAGGACCUGUGGAAUAUAACAGAAGUAAAUGUAUAAAGAGAAGUAUCUGGAAGGGAGAAAGAAAAGCAGUAAUACAAGCACCCAUAAGCCCACCAGUAAGGACUUCAAGCCCUGGAAACAGCAUCACAAAUGACCCUGGGAGAACUGCUCCAAGGAGUUUUGAUGUUGGACAUGCCACGCAGCACAGGGCUGCAUCCGGACCUCUGGCCUUGCAUCUGGACAUCGUGACACUGGAUGAGUCCACAUGGGGUAUGACAGAGGAGCCCCAGGAGCCAGAACACCACCAGGACAGUCCUUACUAACUCAGCUCUACAAGGGAGUGACUCCGAACCACAUGUACAUGUUCCAUGAAAACCAAACUAAGUGUAUCACCAACUUAACAUCCCCUUAGCUUGGCCCCAAAAGUACUCAUGGCCUCUCCUCCACCACCGGAUGUGAUGGGAAGCAUGCAAAUGGAAUGUCAAUAGAAAGACCCAGCCUUAACUGAUUGGCAGUGAAAAUACCUCACUUUUGAAAAUUUCACAAAAACAUAAGGUUACACACCCCUAUCAGAACCCCUUCUAGAGCCUCAGGGGGACCUGUGCAAAUGAGACACCCUGAAGCUUCGAUGUCAUCAGCCACUUGUUAGCUUCACCUCUGGGCUCAAGGAAGGGCAGGUAUUGCUUUUAUCAGGUUCAAAGGGAAUAAAGAGACAGUCAAGGCCUUGGGCUACUCUCUGUAGCUUGCAUUUUCCAGUUCUUUUGAUAAAAAAUAGAUU